CUUACGGGUGGCUGCAGUGGGGGAUAUUGCACAAUGGGGGAAACCCUGAUGCAGCAACGCCGCGUGAAGGAAGAAGGCUCUCGGGUUGUAAACUUCUUUUAUCAGGGACGAAGCAAGUGACGGUACCUGAUGAAUAAGCCACGGCUAACUACGUGCCAGCAGCCGCGGUAAUACGUAGGUGGCAAGCGUUAUCCGGAUUUACUGGGUGUAAAGGGCGUGUAGGCGGGAAAGCAAGUCAGAUGUGAAAACCAUGGGCUCAACCUGUGGCCUGCAUUUGAAACUGUUUUUCUUGAGUACUGGAGAGGCAGACGGAAUUCCUAGUGUAGCGGUGAAAUGCGUAGAUAUUAGGAGGAACACCAGUGGCGAAGGCGGUCUGCUGGACAGCAACUGACGCUGAGGCGCGAAAGCGUGGGGAGCAAACAGGAUUAGAUACCCGAGUAGUC
rnacentral:rRNA from 1 species